UCUAUUUGCAGCUAACUAAAGGGUUUGUGCAUGCAGGACCAGCUUAAUUAAAGACAAAAUUUAAAAGGAAAAAUUAUUUGGGCUGUACAACACUGAAAAAAAAAUCUGAAUCUAUGCUGUUUUUAAAUGGAUCCCUGGUUGAAGUGUGGGUUACAGCUGUCCCAGAAAUCAGUGCCACAAUGAAUUAGGAUGAUGUUGGCUACUGUUUGGCUUGGUGUUUCUUCAACUGUGUGCCACGUCCCUCAGCAAAACACAGCACAGAAGUGGUUUCAAGAGGUGAUGUGGAACUCAUCUGUGACUAUAUUACCGAAGUCCAAUCCAUCCUCGGAAACCUUGACUUUCAGCACCCAGAGACGUGGAAUACGCCUCUCAUUACUGCAGCAGAGGAAAAUCUAACAGAGAGCACCUAUCAUCUCAAAAAGAACUUCAUCCCCAGAAAAAGAAGAUAAAAAGAAACCCGAUAUCCUUUAGCUAUCACUCUAUAUCCUUUCUUCCCAACUCCCACCCCAGCCCUAAGCAGCCACUUACCUACUUUCUGUUUGUAUAGCUGUUCCUUUUUUAUUGUUUUUUGUUUGUCUGUUUGUUUGUUUUGAGACAGGAUCUCACUCUGUUGCCCAGGCUGGAGUGCAGUAGCACGAUCACAGCUCACUGCAGGCCCUACCUCCUGGGCUGAGGUGAUCCUCCUGCCUCAGCCUCCCAGGUAGCUGGGACUACAGGCAUGUGCCAUCAUGCCCAGCUAAUUUUUGUAUUUUUUGUAGAGACAGGGUUUCACCAAGUUGCCCAGGCUGGUCUUGAACUCCUGAGCUAAAGUGAUCCACCUGCUUCGGCCUCCCAAAGUGCUGGGAUUACAGGUGUGAGCCACCGUGCUUGGCCUCUGUAACUUUUCUUAUUUGGGAUUUUCAUAUGAAUGGAAUCAUAUAGUAUGUGGUCUCCUGUGAUUGGCUUCUUUCACUUAGCAUAAUGUUUUCAAGGUUCAUUCAUGUUGUAGCAUGUGUCAAUACUUUAUUUUUAUAACCAAAUAAUAUCACAUUUUCUUGAUAUACAACAUUUUGGGAUUUUAGGCUAAAGAUAAUAGGUUUGCUUCCCUCAAGAAAUAGGGUUUGGCUCUCCCUCUCCCUCUCCCUCUCCCCCUCCCCCUCCCCCUCC
rnacentral:lncRNA from 1 species